rnacentral:rRNA from 1 species
GACAGAGGCCUCAAGCGUUAGGCGGAAUCACUGGGCUUAAAGCGUGUGUAGGCGGAUCGUUAAGUGUCUUGUGAAAUCCCACGGCUCACCCGUGGAACUGCUGGGCAUACUGGCGAUCUUGGGCCAACUAGGGGCAACUGGAACAAACGGUGGAGCGGUGAAAUGCGUAGAUAUCGUUUGGAACGCCAAUGGUGAAAACAGGUCGCUGGGGAUGAGCUGACGCUGAGA